ensembl:processed_transcript 2310058D17Rik RIKEN cDNA 2310058D17 gene
CGUUUUUGUUAUUUUUAAGAACUCGUUUGUGUCUUGGGCUUGCUGCUGUGUGUCACACGGCUCUGGGGCGGAAUCGAAUUAUAGAGCAAGAGAUCGCAUUUUCGCGGUGACAGGUCUCCGCAGGUGGUGUCCCCGCUCCCCCAGACCCGGGUUCUGCAAACUUUGGCCAUGGGUUCUGUAGCUGAUAAUCUCUUGUGUACUGUCAAUACCAUGGCCAAUGAGCUUAGGCAGGAAAUUAGAAAGGUGGGAUACCUGGAAAAGAGAAGGGGCGGGAUGGAUGCUGGGAUCGACACAGACCCAAGUUUGGCCCCAGAACGCUGAUGGAGGUAGCAGCAAAAACUGAGGGCCGGGACCUGGAGGAGCCUCCGUUCUUCUUCCACCAGAAACAAGACCACCUUCUGGAACUCCUCCAGGAUGCGUUCUCUCCGCUCUUUCACUCUCUCCUGUUGAAAUGGAAUGGGGGACCGCAAACUGGCUGUGAGAUGGAUUCGGAAAGGAUGGAUUUCCUUCAGGGUUACCACACAGCAAUUCUGGACAAUUGGUGACCUAGAAUUCUUGGGAAAAGUCGGGAAGCCGGACUUUUGACUGAGACUCUCCACACCAUCCCUAUUGCACCCUAACAGGCUUUGAGUAAUAACACCCAUACAUUCAAAUGUCCAUGUGUCCUGGCGUCAGUGGGUUUAGAACAUGUAAUCUCAAAGAAAGACACAGGCAUGAUUCAUAAAAAGGACGGGGGGAGCUCUUAAUGACCAUGCUAAAAAUGACCCGUGCCCCUAAAGCUGUUGAUCAAAAUUAGUAAGAAAUCGAGAGUUUCAAAGGCAACAGACAAACUUCUAAAAUGCCCGCCCCUCAUGUUUUAUGUACUUGUUUGCCUUUCUCUCCUUCUGAGAUAGGCUUUUCCCAAAUAGCUCUGGGUAUCCUGGAACUGGUUACGUAGUUCAGGCUGACUCUGGACUAACACACAUCUUGCUUUUGCCUCCUUGAGUUCUGGGAUUACAAAUAAGCACCCACAAGCCACGUCCCCCAGACCCAAACAGGCCAUUUCCAGUGAAGAAGAAGUAGUCAGUCUUUGCCUAACAGUACCAUAACAUUAUCUAUGGUUAACAGACUAAUGUCUCCCUGAUCCCACUUUACAAGGAAGGUAACUUUGAAAUGAAAGGACCACCUGCAGCCUUUCUCAGUCUUUAAAAUCAAAGGUACAGCCCACAUUUAUGUUAUGGAAGCCUGGCAUCUAGAGUAAAGAAAUAGAGCUAUUUAAGAUCUGAAUAAAAAGAUUCUUUUAAAGGGGGGGCUGGAGAGAUGGCUUAGGGCACCUAUAGAUGCCUCACAUCCUUCCUAAGCCAUAGUUCCAGGUGACCUGAUACCCUCUUAUGGCCUUGCUGGACAUUGCAUACACAUUAUUCAUAUAUCCAUGCAGGCAAAUACCAAUACACAUAAAGUGAGGAUAAUUUUAUUUAUUUAUUUUUUUUACUAUUAUACAUAAGUACACUGUAGCUGACUUUAGACACAUCAGAAGAGGGCAUCAGAUCUCUUUACCGGUGGUUGUGAGCCACCGUGUGGUUGCUGGGAUUCAAACACAGGACCUUUGGAAGAACAGUCAGUGGUCUGACCUGCUGAGUCAUCUUACCAAGCCGAGGAUAAUUUUUAAAAAUUUGUUUGAGCCAGCCAGGUGCAGUAGUGCCUGCCAGUAUACAUAGCUAUUGGGGAGGCUGAGGCAGGAGGAUUACUUAAGCCUAUAAGUUCAAAGCUAACCUGAAUUUAUGAGCACCCAUCAAAAAAUUUUUUUAAUGUUAUUUUGUUCUGACAAACCUCAGGUGUUCUAGCAGGCUCCACCUGAGACUCACUUUAAAAAUCCUGCUUACCUGUUGUGUUGGCUCAAUUUGCAGGUCAGGCACCAAACCUGCAGAGUACAGGAACCUUUUUCCUCCUUGAAGCCCUGAAAGGCAUCUCCCUGUCACCGAUGAGGAUGGGUCUAGGCACACAGGGUGAGACAACAGCCACUGGGCACCUACCUGCCACUCAGUUAAGGUCUGUUCUUCCUUGGCUUGCAGUAUCUCCGUCUUCAUCAUCUCCUCCCGUAGAUAUUUUAUGUCCUCCUCCAACUUGAGCUGGACACACAAACAGGCCUCCGGUCAGCAGAUCUUAACUCUGCCCACAUCUGGAAUGAAGUAUCUGGGGCUGUAGUGACCCCAGAGAUCCUCCUACAGACAGGGUGGUCUAGCUUCCCAUUCCAGUGGCCAGGAAAUGAGCCUCUCUUGACCUGGGCUUGGAGGUUAGCUCAUGGUGAUGUGUGUACACUGUUGGUCAACUGUCUAUGCUGCUUGAACUCACUGAGAAGCUGGCCCUGGAAGCAGUUACCCCCCCCACACACACAUCUAUUUUACACCUGUUGUUGAAAAGUACCCGUGAAAGCCCCUUGUCCUGAGAUUGGCUCACCCCCUAACUCUGACAUAACAGGUAGGAGCAAAAAGCAAACAGCAAAAUAGCCCAAGAGUAAAAAUGUGUGCUUAGAAACAACUGUAAGACAAGUUGCUCCCAACCAAGGUUACUAUUGUUUAUCCUGGGAUGUAAAAAUGUAUCUAGUGUUAAAGAGAAGCCAGAAUUUCAGCCAUCAGAAGCACAUCAAGAGAGAGAGAGAGAGAGAGAGAGAUCUGUUAGCCAGGCCAAGCCAACCCAAAAAGCCUCUGCAACUGACCACCUCACCUUCCUGUGUCAAUUCUGCUGACCCUUAUUUGAUGAUGUUGCCUUUUCUCUCUUGAUCAGGCUCCUCCCUCAGUUGCUUCUGCUGGACUUGUAAACUCAUUUGAGGACACUUUGCCAUCUAUGUACUGCUUGUAUCUGCUACUCAUUAUGUGUUUUUACCUUUGCCUGCUGCCACUCGUUCAUAAAUGUGGCUACUAUAGACCAUCCCUG